GCCUGCAGUACUAAAGGAAGAAAAAAGGUAAAUUAACAGCAAAUAUAAACAUAUGUGUGUGUGUGUGUGUGUGUGUGUAUCUGCCAAUGUGUGUUAAUCUGUGUGUAUGUGCCAGUUUGUGUAUCUGUGUGUCAAGGUGUGUGUAUGUGUUAGUGUGUGUAUCUGUGUCUGUGUGUGUCAGUGUAUGUUUCUGUGUGUGUGUCUGUGUGUGUCAGUGUAUGUAUUAGUGUCUGUGUGUCAGUGUGUGUAUCUGUGUCAAGGUGUGUGUCAGUGUGUGUAUGUGCU